rnacentral:rRNA from 1 species
UCCAGACUCCUACGGGAGGCAGCAGUGGGGAAUAUUGCACAAUGGGGGAAUCCCUGAUGCAGCGACGCCGCGUGGAGGAAGAAGGUCUUCGGAUUGUAAACUCCUGUCCUUGGGGACGAUAAUGACGGUACCCAAGGAGGAAGCACCGGCUAACUACGUGCCAGCAGCCGCGGUAAAACGUAGGGAGCAAGCGUUGUCCGGAAUUACUGGGCGUAAAGGGCGCGUAGGUGGGCGCUUAAGUCAGGUGUGAAAACUCCGGGCUCAACCUGGAGACUGCACUUGAAACUGGGUGUCUUGAGGGCAGGAGAGGAAAGUGGAAUUCCUAGUGUAGCGGUGAAAUGCGUAGAUAUUAGGAGGAACACCAGUGGCGAAGGCGACUUUCUGGACUGUACCUGACGCUGAGGCGCGAAAGCGUGGGUAGCGAACGGGAUUAGAUACCCCCGUA